UACGUAGGGGCCGAGCGUUGUCCGGAGUUAUUGGGCGUAAAGGGCGCGUAGGCGGCCACUGCAAGUCAGUUGUGAAAUCUCCGGGCUUAACCCGGAAAGGUCAACUGAUACUGCAGGGCUAGAGUGCAGAAGGGGCAACUGGAAUUCUCGGUGUAGCGGUGAAAUGCGUAGAUAUCGAGAGGAACACCUGCGGCGAAGGCGGGUUGCUGGGCUGACACUGACGCUGAUGUGCGAAAGCUAGGGGAGCGAACGGG
rnacentral:rRNA from 1 species